GUGCUCAUGCCAUUGUACAGAACACUGGUGAGACCUCACUUGGAGUAUUGUACACAGUACUGGAGACCGUAUCUUCAGAAGGAUAUUGAUACCUUAGAGAGGGUUCAGAGAAGGGCUACUAAACUGGUUCAUGGAUUGCGGGAUAAAACUUACCAGGAAAGGUUAAAGGAUCUUAACAUGUAUAGCUUGGAGGAAAAACGAGACAGGGGGGAUAUGAUAGAAACAUUUAAAUAUAUAAAGGGAAUCAACACAGUAAAGGAGGAGACUAUAUUUAAAAGAAGAAAAACUACCACAACAAGAGGACAUAGUCUUAAAUUAGAG